ensembl:lincRNA Gm30074 predicted gene, 30074
UGCUGUCUCCCUGGCACUCAGGGCACCAGGACGCUUGUUUGCAGAGCUGGCGGCCAGCAGCUUGGAGCAGCUGGUUGUAAUUAUGCACUGCAGCUUCAGAGGAAGUUUCUGGCUGGGAGAGCGUGUGCUGGGCCUGGCUGCACAUUGGCUGCUGGGCUUCAGGGAACAAAGGAGCUAGAAACCAGUGGCAGCAGAGAACACUCCGAGGAGCAGGACCCGGGUGAAGGCAGGCAAAAAGAAAGGACAGGGUCUCUCACUGGACCAGGAACUCCACGAUGAGCUAUUGAGCAAACCUACAGAUCCUCUCAUCUCUAACUCCCCAGUGUCAGAUUACUGCCAUGCUAUCAUGCUCAGCUUUCUACAGGAGUGCUGGUGACCGAGCUCACGCCUUCCUGUCCCUGGAGCAGGCGCCAUACAGACCGGGCCAUCUCUCCAGCAUCCCCAAUCACUUUCAUUUUGAUUCCCUCCUGAUGUAGAGAGAAUAAACCUCCAUGUCAGAGGGAACGGGGUUUGAGUCUAUUAGCGUGUGCCUCUGACAAGUCGCUCACCGCUCUUCCUCACGUUAAGACGUGGUUAUGGUUAGUGAUACACACGCCUACAGUUGGUUGGUGCUUAGACUAAAUCAUGGAGUCCAGCACUCUUCAGUAUUAGGUUCCAUACUUGGAAAAUAGCAGACGGAACAUUGUAAUUCUGUCCCCAUGGGGCUGCAAUUAAUUUAUAAUUACAAAUACAGAGACUGUAAUUAAUUAAGCUAAACCGUCGAUUAGAAUGUACACCUACAAUAGUGCCUUGAUUUUACAUGUGGCUGUCAACAGAGCAAGAUCUCCUCCCUGGAUUUUUAAAAAAGAUUUAUUUAUCUAUAUGUAAGUACAAUGUAGCUGUCUUCAGACACUUUUUCUUCUCUCUCUGUCCUGUCCCCGCUCACUCCCGCCCUGUCCUUGCUCACUCCCGCCCUGCUCUCUCUGAGCCAAAGAUUUAUUUAUUACAUAUAAGUACAAUGUAGCUAUCUUCAGACACACCAGAAGAGGGCAUCAGAUCUCAUAAUGGAUGGUUGUGAGCCACUUUGUGGUUGCUGGGAUUUGAACUUUAGACCUUCGGAAGAGGAGUUAGUGCUCUUAACCACUGAACCAUCUCUCCAACCCUCUCCUCCCUGUUUAUUCACAGCAAAUGGUCACACAGAACCUGAUGUAUGGAAAAGUAGAGAAUAGGAGUCCCAUCCAAGCUCCAGGCUUCCAUAUGACUCAAGAUCAUAUGGGUCCCAUCCCCACCUGUCACCAGCUCAAUUCAGAUUAGAAGGUCAGGGAGCCCUUCCUGAUGCCUACCACAGGUCAAUUUUCUGAUCAUGGCAUGUGGGCACUCAAUCCAUGGCCCCUAGGGGUCUUGAGGGUGAUAUCCUUUGAUGAAUUUACUGAUUUAAUUUCUAGUUUCUUCUGGAAAUAUCUGCAGGGACACUACAGAAAUAACGUGCUACUAGCUAUUUGGGUGUCUACCAGAGAUGUGCCUCAGCCCUAACUUGAAAGUUUGAGAAGAUGGCAUUAAUUUCAAGUCCAUGAGCAGCACAUGACCACCACUGAACCAAUCACUAUGAUGCAAUGGGCACCAGGUAGAAUUGAGAAGUCAGAAGUCUGUCUACCCCAGGAUCCAUGGGCAGAGGCAUUCCUACAUACACUAUGUGGAAAGAACAUUAUGUUGGAGAUUUGCCAGUGUUACUCAGAGUAGAGAACAUUUUAGGAGUCUGUACAGCGAACCCAGGUUGUCUACCUAGUGUAUUGGUUAGGUCCAGUCAGGUAGCAGAACCCAUCUCAACUGUGUUACCCGAGCAAAUAGAACAUGCUAUAGACUUCAUACUUAGACAGUACCACGGUGGUAGCUAAUUAUCUCUGGACUGUCAGUGAAAGUGUUCCAGAAGAGAUUAGCACGCACAUCAUAAGACUCAGUAAAGGAGACAGCCCUCACCUAUUCUGGGAGACAUCACCCAAUCCCCUGAAAAAGCAUAGAACAGAAGGUAAAGGAGUAAGGAGCCUCUCUCUGCUGAAGCUGGGACCCCAUCGCUCCAUGCCCUCCCUGGCAACUGGGACUCCAUCCCUUCUGGCCUGCCAGGACCUCUCCUUCCCUACCUGGCCUGCUGGGAUCCCACCCCUCCCUGCCCUCAGAAAUUGAUGCUUCUGGUUUGGGGAUCUUAAGACUUGUAAUGAGUGACAUUGCAAACCCUCUUGGCCUUCAGCUGGUAGACAGCUGUUCAUGGAGCAUCUUAGCCUCCACACCUGCAGGAAUAAAUCCCUCAUGUGAAAUAACUCUCUCCGUGCUCCUAUACACACAUAUAGCUAGGUAUAAAUGAUACAGAUAUCAUUUAUAGAUAUAGAUUAUACAUGUGGAUGAUACAGGUCAUAUAUGAGUUUGAAACCAUGUCCCCAGGCCCCCAGAACCCAUAUUGUAGAAAGAGAAAACUGAUUCUGCAACGUGUCUUCUGACCAUGCCAUGCGCUUGUUAAAUCACAUACACACACAAAAUAAAAUAAAUGUGAACCA